rnacentral:rRNA from 1 species
UACGGAGGGGGCAAGCGUUGAUCGGAAUUACUGGGCGUAAAGGGCGCGUAGGCGGCCUGUUAAGUCGGACGUGAAAUCCCCGGGCUCAACCCGGGAACUGCGUCCGAUACUGGCGGGCUUGAAUCCGGGAGAGGGAUGCGGAAUUCCAGGUGUAGCGGUGAAAUGCGUAGAUAUCUGGAGGAACACCGGUGGCGAAGGCGGCAUCCUGGACCGGCAUUGACGCUGAGGCGCGAAAGCUAGGGGAGCAAACGGG